rnacentral:rRNA from 1 species
AACGUAGGGGGCCAGCGUUGCUCGGAAUUACUGGGCGUAAAGGGUCCGUAGGCGGUGUGGCAAGUCGGAAGUGAAAUCUCUGGGCUUAACCCAGAGGCUGCUUCCGAAACUGCUGUGCUAGAGUGUGAGAGAGGCGAGUGGAAUUGCGGGUGUAGCGGUGAAAUUCGUAGAUAUUCGCAAGAACACCAGUGGCGAAGGCGGCUCACUGGCCCGAUACUGACGCUGAGGCACGAAAGCGUGGGGAGCAAACAGG